rnacentral:rRNA from 1 species
ACUUACCAUGUACGAUGCUCCCCUGGAUUCACUAAUUUAUUAUUUAUUUCAAAAUUGAGUUGGGGAGAGUGACGGGCGGUGUGUGCGCGCUUCAGGGCCAGUUUCAGCAAAACGCUCUAUUUGCUUAUUGUUAAAUUCUUCUUCUAAUAUUCUUUUCAUAACAUUUUCGUAUACCUUCAAAAGGAAUGUAGCCUUCUUCCCUCUCAUAACUACACCUCGACCUGACGUUUUAAGUGCUACUGAUUUUGCUUACUAUUAGGCCUUCACAGGGUAAGCUGACGACGGCGGUAUAUAGGCGGGAAGAACAAGAGAGGGUGAGGUUUAACGGGGGGUAUCGGUUCUAGAACAGGCUCCUCUAGGUGGGUCUAAAGCACCGCCAAGUCCUUUGGGUUUUAAGCUAGUGCUCGUAAUCCCCGGGCGGAUGAUGGUGUAAUGUUCAUCAAAGUUUGUGGCUAUGCAUAGUGGGGUAUCUAAUCCCAGUUUGUUCCGUAGCUUUCGUGGAUUCAUUAACUUAAAGUUACUUUCGUUCAUGAUCUUCUUACUCCCGAGUGCGUAUAACAGCUUUGGAAGUAUUUGGCUUUAGUUUAUUUGUAAACUAACCACUCUUUACGCCGAUGUCUAUCAGCUUGGGCCUCUCGUAUAACCGCGGUGGG